CCAUCCAGAAAAUACUUGAGUGUAAUAAGGAUUUCUGCCUGACAUUAGACUCUCCCGACAUGCAAGUGUUGGGAGCUCAAAGGAUUCUUGAGCUGGGAAAUCCUCAAGGGAGAUGACGUAGAGGGAGCCAGGCGUCCAAGGCGUACGAACAAGGUUUAAUGCUGCACCCGUCAAGGCAGGAGCUCCCCAGAUCGAUGCAGACUUCUUCCUCCGUGUCCUCCACAGGACUAAGCUGUUUCUGAGGCCUCAGCGCAUGCUACCUGGGGGAGGGGACAAGGGGGGGCUGCCUAAUCGUCCUUCUUAAACUUGCCAUUGAUGUACGGCACCCAGUCCAGGAUCAGCCGCCAGUCCGUGACCCACACCAGUCCCACGGCACCCACAGUGCCCCACAUGCCGGCUGUGGGGAUCCUAUUUUUGGCCAGUUCUCGGUAGCGCGGGCCUAGAAAUCUGCUGAGCAUCGCUGCGGGGUCUCAAUACUCAGGGUCACCCUGUUCCGCCGCCCUGGAGCACUACGCAUGUGCAGACGUACAGCGCAUGCGUGAAAGC
rnacentral:lncRNA from 1 species